rnacentral:rRNA from 1 species
GACGAACGCUGGCGGCGUGCUUAACACAUGCAAGUCGAACGGUGAAGCUCCAGCUUGCUGGAGUGGAUCAGUGGCGAACGGGUGAGUAACACGUGAGCAACCUGCCCCUGACUCUGGAAUAAGCGCUGGAAACGGCGUCUAAUACUGGAUAUGAGAAGGGUCCGCAUGGACACUUUCUGGAAAGUUUUUCGGUUGGGGAUGGGCUCGCGGCCUAUCAGCUUGUUGGUGAGGUAAUGGCUCACCAAGGCGACGACGGGUAGCCGGCCUGAGAGGGCGACCGGCCACACUGGGACUGAGACACGGCCCAGACUCCUACGGGAGGCAGCAGUGGGGAAUAUUGCACAAUGGGCGAAAGCCUGAUGCAGCGACGCCGCGUGAGGGAUGACGGCCUUCGGGUUGUAAACCUCUUUCAGCAGGGAAGAAGCGAAAGUGACGGUACCUGCAGAAGAAGCACCGGCUAACUACGU